rnacentral:rRNA from 1 species
AACGAACGCUGGCGGUGUGCUUAACACAUGCAAGUCGAACGAGAACGUUUCCUUCGGGGGACUAGUAAAGUGGCGCAAGGGUGAGUAACACGUGAAUAAUCUGCCCUCGAGACUGGGAUAACUUGGCGAAAGCUAGGCUAAUACCGGAUAAGACCACGUUUCAUAAGAAAUGCGGAAAAAGGAGUCUCAAUCUUCACUCGAGGAUGAGUUCGCGCAACAUUUAGCUUGUUGGUGAGAUAAAAGCUCACCAAGGCUACGAUGUUUAGCCGGCCUGAGAGGGUGAACGGCCACACUGGAACUGAGACACGGUCCAGACUCCUACGGGAGGCAGCAGUGGGGAAUAUUGCGCAAUGGGCGAAAGCCUGACGCAGCAACGCCGUGUGAGCGAUG